rnacentral:lncRNA from 12 species
AUAGUUAAAGUGUUGAGAGUUAAUCAUUUCUAUUCCUACUCUCAGUAAAUCUGUUUUGUGUGUCCCAGCUUGGAACGUUACGGAGGACGCGAAGGAACAUCUGAAGACAUUCUAUCAAAUAAUGAUAGACCCGCAUAAAGAGGCUGUCUGUCACAGUUAUAAGAUCUGUCUCUGGUGGAUAGACAAACCAGAUUAACAUGAAAUUGAAAAGGAAAAAGCUUUUU